rnacentral:lncRNA from 10 species
CUGACUUCUGCCCUUUCACAGGGCUGCCGGGGCACACAGGGUGUAAACCUGCCGUGAGGCCUGGGGCUUUCCUGUGAUCUUAAGGAGGCUGCCUUGUUGAGGGAGAUGCCCAGCCCAGUGGCUCUGCGGUGUCUUCUCCAACAUCACUGGGCGGGAGCACAAGGGAAAUUCCUUAGGCAGUGAGAGCUACCCGAGAAAAUAAACUUGGGAAACCCAGGUUCUGCGGAUCUCUUACUUCUCAGGGCUGCAGGCUCCUCAUCUCAAAUACAUCCCACCUCCCUCCUCCUCUGAGAUGCCGCGGGAUUCAUCUCUCUCCCACAGCCAGAUUGCAAGCAGCUAGAGAGCAGGCAGGUGCUAAAUAAAUCCUCAGUGACUGAGCCCGGAGCCAAACACAUUUAUCCUUGUCAUCCAUCCAAUUCUGUGCAGCUGGGAUGGAGCCCAAGGCGCUGAGGACAACAUAAAUCUGCUCUUUGGGCCACACCCAUUUCUUCUCCAAGCAGAUGUGGUAGCCGGGAGCCAAGUCUUGGGGGCUCAGCGCUGGGCUGAGAAGGGGACGAGCUCCAGGCCCGGUGAGUUGGAAGUCUCGGAGAAAGGCUGACUGGCUUCACCUCGCCUCCGCCGCCCAGGGGCUGUGUGAGCAGGCUUUGGCAGCGAUUUCUCCAGCAGGAAGGGAUGAAGCCCUGACCAGGUUCAGAGGCAGCGGGUCAGGACCGUGCCUGGGCUCAGUCCCGCCCUGGCUCCUUCGCUUCUCGCCGCUGUGAGCCUGGGCAGUGGCUUCGCUGCUCUGGGCCCCACUUUCCUCAAGCGUUAGCAGGACAGUGGCACUCUAUUUUGGAAUCUCAUGAGAAUAAAAUGAGAUGAUGCAUGGACAACCUGCACAUAGCAAGUGCUAAUAAUUACCAUCUCUUAAGUUGGUUUGAAGGUCCAAAGCCAGUCCCUAAUUGAGUAGCCUCCGGUAGCUCAAAGUACAUGGCUGGCUUAAGGCCUGGGAUCCUUUCCCAGUGCUAACCGAGCUGCCAUAAAUGUAACUCAUGGAAAGCAAGCUCCAGGUCUGACAUGGGCGGGGCCCAUCCUGCUGAGAUACAGUACAGCCUCAAGUGGAUUUAUUAACCCAAAGAAACUAGCAGCACAACUUGUGUGCUGACACCUGCUAGUCACUUCAUACCUCACGAUCCCCUUUUCACGGAACAGGACAUCCAUCUAGGCACAGAGAGGAUAAGGUUCUGCCCAAAGCCACACAGCAUGAUAAAUGGCGGAACUUGGGUCUAAAUACUGCAUCAGAAGACAGUAUCUCUGCUCACCCCUAUUUUGUUUUGCAACCUCUGGAAUUUUCCAUUCCAUUUGUUUAACGCCACUUAUAAUGAAGGCCUCCUCAUGCAUCUUGAGAAGGCAUGUGUUCAGUGGUACAGUAUACAAACUCACUUCUCCCACAUGCUGGCCGCACUAAGUGCCACACCUUGAAAUAAUUCUGAGACAUUCUUCUUAGGAUAUUUGUGGCAUAAGGAGGAAGCCCUUGGUGCCUUCGUGCAGCUGUGUUCCUCUAGGAUAGCAAUUGUGAUAAAGACCCAGGGCCGGCUGGUGACUGAAACGGGAGUGGUUUCUACCAAAUCCUGUGAGCAAUUUAGACUCUCUUGGGUAUUCCCUAAACAGUCAUCAUCAGACUGGGAGGAGAGAGCAAAUAUUACCUGAAAUGAGGCCGCUUGGUGGAAGACAUUGGAGAAACACAGCUGGAAAGAUGGACGCUCUGCGGUUCAGAAACACUGGAGUUUCACAUUUGACCUCUGGCUUUCAUGUGAGAUGAAAGGACAGAACACUUUUCCAAAGUUAUUUUCUCUUUACAUGAGUUCAAGGGCUGUGGUGAAAGUGAGGAAUCCAAAGUCUACCCAGACUACUUCCUCUUAUUUUGAUUUAUGCCAGUGGUUUAUAACUUUUUAUAAUAAAUAUUUUGUAAACUCC